UCGGCCGCCCCCUCCACUCCUCCAGCCGCCAUCGCCAAUUGCUCAGGCUCCUCCAACCGGUCUCAGCCUAUUCUCCGUCCAUGAUGCUACGUUCUAGCCAUACCGCCGUUGUGCCCUGUUGUCGGCGACGACGAGAACCACCAGCGAAGCUGUGAGUGCCCGAGGCCACAUCUCCGUCAUUCUCCUUCUUCUUCUCUUUCUGUCGCUGUUCACAACCGCACCCGGCUGUCACCGGUGUCGUUCUGAUCGUUGUCGCCGGCUGUAGGCGCAAGGUUGGGUGUCGUUCACUGCCACCGUCUCUUUUUCUCCUUCCCUUUGUUCUGUUAAUGUGUUGCUUCAAGUCGCCAGUGAGGCCGUGAACCGCAAGGAUCGACCGCCGGCUGUCACUGCCGCCACCAUCUUGCGCGGCUGCUUCCUACCGCCCGGACCAUCGCAUGCCACCAUGAAGAGGGAAUUGUGUUCGACUUUUCGCUACCAGGUGGGUGGCAGUGGGCAUACAUCGGUGUGUGGGUGUGUAUUUUGCAAUGAAAUAUAGCAUGAAGUGUGUGUGUGUGUGUGUUAUGCAUAGCUGGAAAAUCGAGGAUAGCCACCGCCACCACCGUGAGGUGGUAGCUGCCGCCGUGUACCACCACCGACCACCACAAGGGUGGUUGUUUGCGGGUGUGUAUGUAUUUAGUAUAGUGUAUGUGUUUAGUUUGAGAGUUCAUUGUAAAAUGUAAAAAUGUAAUAAUAGAAAUCUCAAACCACCACCGGCCGCCGUGUCGGGUGGCGGUGUGCCUCGUUGAUGUUGUGUUUUGGUGUGGAUUUUUGAACAAGGGGCUAAAACCCUAGUUGUCUCAAAGGAGCUCUAAUAGGCCCAAUGAAGAUUAAUGGACUCUAAUGGACCCAAUAAAACCAUAAUGGGCUUAAUAAUAUUUUAGUGGGCUUAAUAAUAUUUUAGUGGGCUUAAUAGGUCCAAUAAAGCCCUAAUUGACAUAAAAGACCAACAAAUUGAUAAAUGGGCUAAUAUGUGGAUUGGAAAACCCUAAUGCCAAUGAAAACCUAACUUUAAGAAUUAAUCGGGUCACACACACAAGAAUUAUUUAAUAACUUGGAAUAUUAAAUAAUAAUCAUCGGCGGAAAUUAAUCUAAGCAAUAUUGGACUUAAUGGGUUAAGUCCUUAAUGGAUUAAGUCCUUAAUGGGUUAAGUAGGAAACUUAACCCUAAUCAUCAUUUUAUGUGAAACCCUAAUUUUACUUGGAUUCAUUGUUGGGCCUUUCUAUUGGGCCUUGAUGAUUGGGUUAUUAAACGGACUAUCCAAGAUCAAGCAAAUGGUCUAGAGUAAUUUAAUGGGCCUAGGGUAAGGCCCAUGUGAGGGCUUGGGCCCAAUUUGGAAAAUUGGGCCAUAGAUGGGCCAUAGUUUGGGCCUUAAUGAUUAUAUGAUGUUGGGCCUUAGAAUGAGACCAUGUAUAGGCCUAGGCCCAAUUUGGAAAAUUGGGUCAUGUGUUAGGCUUUGAUUCCUAUUUGGCUUUGGGCCUAUGGAUUGGGCCUUGGGCUUGAAUAAGCCAAGUUAGGGGUAAUAUAGUAAUUACCCAGAGAAUAUACUUAUGGUUAUGUAUUGGGACCCAAUUAUUAAUUGGGUGUUAUUUUGGUGUUGACAGUUCGGGAAUCUGUCAGCCAGUAGCUGGGGUCGAGUCUGCGGGACUUCAGCAGGUGUGGGAUUGUGUCUUCGGGACUUCAGCAGUGUGAGGUGAGUUCCCUUCCAGUAGCGGUGGGUCUACGGCCACAAUGUCGGCCCACUAGUAGGAGUUGUAUGUUAAAUGAUUGUCUUUGUGAUAUCAUCUAGGUUUGCUACUACCUGAUAUGUUAUAUGCUGGCAUGAUAUGUAUAUGAGAUAGUAGUAGAGUUCGGUUGUUAGGACUGAAGGGUAGGUCAGACACCCCAAAUAUGUCUGACAGUAUGUGAUGAUAUGUUUAUAUGUCGGCAUGAUAUGUUAUAUGUGAUAGUGGUAGUAGGAGGGGAAUAGUCCCCAAGUUCGGUCGUUAGGACCGAAGGGUAGAUCGGACACCCCAGAUAUGUAUGAUAAUAUGUUAUAUUAUGAUAUAUGUAAUAGUAGCAGUAGGGGUGGAAUAGUCCCCGAGGAUCGGUUGUUAGGACCGAUGAGUAGUCAGCACCCCAGAAUGGCUUGACAUGGGUAGUCAACACCCCAGAACGGCUUGACACGGGUAGGUCGGCACCCCAGAAUGGUCGUAUCGGGUAGGUCGGACACUCCAGAAUUGCCCGAUAGUAUGUAUGAUAUGUGAUUGUAUGGCAUGUGGUAUGAUGGGCGAUCUCACUAAGCUUCGUGCUUACGGUUUUCAGUUUUGGUUUCAGGUACUUCGUGUUUAAAGGAAAGGAGUCGGCUUGAUCGCAGCACAUCACACUAUGGUUUUCCGCACACGAGAUCUUUGGGAUUAGACUCUGAUAUUGUUUUAUGAUAAUUUGUUUUUAUUAUUUCUACUUGGGUUUUGACAUGACAUGAUAUUAUGGAUGUUUUCUUAUACUGUUGAUUUUAUAAUAAGGUAUUUAAAUAUGAAA
rnacentral:lncRNA from 1 species